UACAGAGGUCCCAAGCGUUGUUCGGAUUCACUGGGCGUAAAGGGUGCGUAGGUGGUGAGGUAAGUCGGAUGUGAAAGCUCGGAGCUCAACUCCGAAAUGGCAUUGGAAACUACCUUGCUCGAGGGUUGGAGGGGGGACUGGAAUACUUGGUGUAGCAGUGAAAUGCGUAGAUAUCAAGUGGAACACCAGUGGCGAAGGCGAGUCCCUGGACAACUCCUGACACUGAGGCACGAAAGCUAGGGGAGCAAACGGG
rnacentral:rRNA from 1 species